GCUAUGUCAAGAUUACAUCGGUUGGUGCUAACCAAAGAAGUCAUUCUUACCGAGCAAUAAAAGUAGAUGUAGCAGCAAAAUUGGUCUGAUGAACUAAACGAGGAGCAGUAGCAUAAUAUGUCAUUCUCCACAGAGAGCCAUGUUUCACUAAGAAGUUGUAACUCCGUGGUAGUUGGUUAAAAGGCCACGGUGUAUGUUCUGUCCACAAAUCAGUAAUGAACACCUGCAAUGCACCAUCUUUAAACGGAUACAACAACAUAAUCAACACACAUUUUCAUAUAUCUCAUACUUUAUCAUAUUUGCUACACAUAUAUCCACCACUUAGUUGGUUAAAAGGCCAUGGUGUAUGUUCUGUCCACAAAUCAGUAAUGAACACCUGCAAUGCACCAUCUUUAAACGGAUACAACAACAUAAUCAACACACAUUUUCAUAUAUCUCAUACUUUAUCAUAUUUGCUACACAUAUAUCCACCACUUAUUGGCAUAGAGAAACUAGUCCUCGCAGGCCGCAGCACAUUCAACCAAAUCCAUUGCUUUUGGUUCAAACAUGUAUACAUAUAAGGCCAGCUCGGUGCACUAAACUCCCGCUAUGCGCAGGGUGCGAUGGAGGGCCGGACCACAUUGUGUCUUAUGCACGUAGCCUUACAUUGUAUUUCUACAAGAGCUAUUUUUCUCAGCUCGAAUGCGUGACCUCCUAGUCACACUAUGGCAACUUUUACUGUUGCGCCACUGCUCUCCUUCAAACAUGUAUACAUAUAGAGAAAAGUAUAUAAACUAGUUGUAUUCAUUCGGAACACACUGACUCUAAAUCCUGGAUUUGCCUAUACUUAGUAUGCAAGAAGUCAAAAGGAGUCCAUCAAAACGAACCUGA
rnacentral:lncRNA from 1 species